GGAAGGGUUGUAGCUCAAUGGUAGAAAUGGUAGAGCAUCUGCUUUGCAGGCAGAAGGUCACAGGUUCAAUCCUUGGCCCCUCCA